CGAGGCGUAGCUCAACUGGAUAGAGCAUCCCCCUCCUAAGGGGAAGGUUGUGGGAUCGUGCCCCACCGCUUCGGCCA
rnacentral:tRNA from 1 species